CUUCGGUGAUGAUACGAUGACGAGACGGAUCGGGACUCUCAGUUCUGUGGUUUUCUGGUUCAGGUCCACGUUCUGUGGUUCUGCUCUGGAUCUGCAGAUCAGAGAGUUCUCUCCACCUGAAGACACAGAGGCAUUUGUCUGAGAAGG